rnacentral:misc_RNA from 1 species
CAUGUGACGUUUUUGUGUUGGUUGGAUCUGGAAUUGUUGCAAAUGGAAAAUGGCGUUUGUGUUGUAUUGAAGAGCUGUAAACAUACGUACUGCUUUGUGUAUAAAUGAACUUAACUGUUGUGGAUUGAAAAGUUUUUAUUUUUCAUUUGUUAGUGAUAUUAUAACGUGGACUAAUGAGUUUACUGACCGAUGUCUGCCGUGGCUCCCACUAUCCCCGGGGCUGACCCAGCAAAGGAUAUACAAAAACGCCGUGCUGGCAGUGUUGGGUCAGAUGAAGACGACGCAAGUGGAGGGAAAUAUACAAGGAUGGAGGAGGAUAACAUUCAGGAUAAGGAAAGAUUUGCAAGUCGCGAGAACCACUGCGAAAUUGAACGUCGCCGAAGAAACAAGAUGACGGCGUACAUCACGGAACUAUCUGAUAUGGUUCCAACAUGCUCGGCCCUCGCGCGGAAACCAGACAAACUCACGAUACUGCGUAUGGCAGUAGCGCACAUGAAAGCCUUAAGAGGUACUGGUAAUACUUCAACAGACGGCACGUACAAACCAUCCUUCCUAACUGAUCAGGAAUUAAAACAUUUAAUCCUUGAAGCGGCUGAUGGGUUUUUAUUUGUUGUCAGCUGCGAUACUGGACGUAUUAUCUAUGUCAGUGACAGUAUAGCACCAGUUUUGAACUACUCGCAGGGUGAAUGGUACUCAUCAUGCUUAUAUGAUCAAGUACAUCCAGAUGAUGUGGAAAAAGUUAGAGAACAAUUAAGCACACAAGAACCUCAAAACACAGGUCGUAUCUUGGAUCUUAAAACAGGGACAGUAAAGAAAGAAGGUCACCAAUCAUCCAUGCGUCAAGUCAUGGGCUCCCGGCGUGGUUUCAUAUGUCGAAUGCGCGUCGGUGGAUCUGCAGAGGGUGCACAUCUCGGAAGACUGCGUGCAAGAAACUCAUUAGGCCCUUCGCAUGAUGGCCAUAAUUACGCCGUUGUACAUUGCACCGGAUAUAUUAAAAAUUGGCCUCCUACAGAUCUGUUUCCAGGUAUGCAGAUGGAUCGUCCUAUUCAGGAAGAGCUUGACACAUCCCAUUGUUGCCUAGUUGCUAUCGGAAGACUUCAGGUCACAUCAACGCCUAACUCCUCUGAGAACAGUUUAUGUAGCGGCGGAGUGGAGUUUGUGUCGCGGCAUUCGGUGGACGGUCGAUUCACUUUCGCCGAUCAACGCGCCACACAGGUGGUCGGGUACGCACCGGCCGAUCUGUUGGGCAAACUUUGUUACGAGUUCUAUCAUCCAGAGGACCAACAGCACAUGAGAGAUAACUUUGACCAAGUAUUGAAAUUGAAAGGCCAAAUUAUUUCACUCAUGUACCGAUUUCGCACCAAGAGCAGAGAGUGGGUUUGGUUAAGAACUUCAGCGUUCGCAUUUUUAAACCCUUACAAUGAUGACGUAGAGUACAUCGUCUGCACCAACACUUUAGCGAAUCGGUCGUUAGGCAGUACAACAGGCGAAGCUGCCCCGGAAGAGAAUUACGAUUACCACUUACGCCACAGAGACGUGUAUCAAGCCCAAGCACCUAAUCUGCACCAACAGCACCAUGCGCCACCAGGUCCCGUGGCUCCAAUAGCGUUUGGUUUGCCAGUGAGCGGCGGCGGCGGCAGCGCGCGGUCGCCGGGCGAGGCGGGCGCGGCGGCGGCGCCGGCCUACGCGCCGCACUACGCGCCCGAGUACUCGCCGCACCGCCCCGCCAACACUCCGCCGCACACCACCUGGACCACGCUGCGCACCAGCGGCGGCGGCGGCGCGGGCGAGAGCUACGCGUACAGCGGCGAGGCGGCGGGAGCGGCGGCCGCGGACGCGUCCCCCGCGCGCUCGCCGCCCGCGCCCGCCUACCUGCCACCAGCCGCGCACUACCACCACAACCACCACCCGCACCCCUCGCACGGCAUGUGGUCGUGGCAGACGGGCGCAGGCGCGGCGGCGGGCGCGGCCGGCGCCGAGGGAGCGCACGCGCCGCACGAGCUCUCCGACAUGCUGCAGAUAUUGGACCAGAGCGGAACUGCUACCUUCGAAGACCUUAACAUUAAUAUGUUCAACUCGAACUUUGAGUAAUCUAACUCAGAAUGUAUGUACCUCAUUUGAUUCGUGAAAUUUUGAAAGAGAAAAUAUUAUUGCGCAACAUAAAGUACAUAUACAUGCAAUGGCAUUCAAAUGCGUUAUGUUACAUUUCCCGAAUUGCAAGAAAGUAAGACAAGCGCGUCAGCCUAUUAAAUCUCAAUAUUUCGGUUGUAGAGUCAUAGAUUCAGAAUAGCUGUCUAUACAUACGUAGUUAGGUAGGGUAAGAACUUAUUUUCUCAGAUAUUCGUACUACAAAGUAUAGUACCUACCUAUUAUAAAUUCGUGACAUAAUUUUGAUACAAUAAAAUAAUAAUUCGAAGCCACUUCAUUUAAAUGAAGUUCGUUAACAAUACUGUAAGGACGAAUCAGUUCUUAAAUAAGCGGUGCCUACAUAGAACAUAGACUCCCAGGUAUAUACUAUUAUUAGGGCUUAACACGAGUGUCGUGUUCGGUAUAAAAACCUAGCGUGUCAAAAUCUUGUGGGUAUCACAAUUGAAGUAAAAUCAAUUGCAAAUCAGUCUGUGUACCCCUCUGCGUGGUGAUGAUUAGAUUACACCUAGAGAUAUCACUGUUAUCUAUCCAGGUAUAUUCUUGCACAAAUUGUUACAAAAAUGGAAGGGUCCAUUCUUACGAAAUCCUUUCGCAUACUCUUAAAUCAUUGACGUGCAAAAAUAAUGAAAGGGUUAAUUUUCAUAAACGGGCGUUUUCGUAGUGCUCAACAUAACGCGCAAAGCUACAUAUUAAGUAUGUGUGCCUUUAACGAGCCGGAGUGGCGUGACGUGCAAUCAUUGCGAUAAAACGUUAAAUAUCUUAAUUGGCAGGUAGAGUGGAUUCUUGGUUUCGUGAGGAGACAACGCCACUUCUGACCGACACAGGUGUUUGGAACCACUUAAUUAGUUUUGUAACUUGUAGUAUUAUGAGAUAAUUCAUUAUUUUUAAUUUAGUUUAAUGAUGUUUUUCUUAUCUGGUUUCUACUGACACUUAAUCGAAAUAUUAAAUCAGUAGCUGCUGUAAAGUUAAUUCUGCAUAGCCAUUAGCUUAUUUCAAAUAUUUAGCUAGGCUAUAAUUUAAUAGAAAAAAAUACUGUGUAAAUAGUAUUCUUUGGCAGCUACCGAGUUUGUUUGAACAUAGUGUUGUUAAAUGUUUUGUUAAUUCAUAUCUCUCUAUUCAGAAUUAGCUUUACUGGUACUUGAGACUUAUAGUGCAACCACGUUUACUACCAUAUUCAAAAUCGUGUCAACAAUUUCCGUUCAAAUGGUGCAUCUAGCAAAAUUAAGUUAAUAUACCCAUUUUAUAUCUUGACGUUAUUUUUAAGUUAUGAUAAGACUCAUUUGGGAAUAUAGCAUCGUAAUUAAUUAUUAUUUUUGUAGAAAAUACUGUAAUUAUGUGUUUUCGGUUGUAAGCUCCGUAAUACCAUUCCACUAUACUGUCACUAAACUUAAGGAAUCGUAUUGAUUGUUAGUGCAGAUAGCAGAAUAUACACAUAAAAUGAUAAGAUGUGAAAUACUCAAUGUAAAUGAAAUCUUUAUUUACAUUCUCAAUUAAAAAUUCGGUAAAGUUUUACGCUACGAAACCAAAGACGUGAAUGCAUUGUGAUCAUUUUGGUCGAAAUGGUUUUGCUAGUUCUAUCAUGAAGCAGUUACGGCGUUUUGUAUUUUACAAAUUUAAGGCCAGAAAUUACCAGCAGGCAGGUCCCUGGCCACGCUGUGUAGGCUAUAUAUUCAUAUAAAAUGUAUCAGAAUGUGUAAAGCAAUAAUUGUGCGAUAAAUGUUCUCGUUCGUGACAACACCUGAUUGAAGAUCCAGCUAUCAGCCCUGCUCUCUGUUAAUGAUGCCUAAUUCAUGAUUCCUGAGGUUGUUACACAACUUCUUUAAAUUAUCGAAAUUCUUAAUCAUGUAUGUUCUAUAAUUUCAUUGAUAUAUUGAAAGUAUCACUAUAAUUAAAGUGACUGUACCUGAAAACAAUAACAUUCACCGGUGUUCAUUACAUUUAAAUUCAUACAAUUAUUGCUUUAAAAUUAUCCGAAUAUCAAAAAUCUUUUUAUUAUAUUAUACCUAAUUUAAGAUAUUAAUGGAUUAUAUUUUUAUGUAAGUAAUGCAUUUACGAGUUCAUAUUUUCUUCGUAAACAAUUUUAUUACUUUUAAUUGGUUGUAUAGGUAUACUUGAAUUUUGUAAAAUGAAUUUUUCAUUAAAUACUAACGAUAUGGACAUUAA